ensembl:lncRNA
GUCCGUCUCUUGUGUCAUUAACCAGAUUAUGUUCAGCUGUGUACUCACCGGUCUCUCAUUACCAUCCUCAUCUGUCAGCAUAUUUAAGUCCUCUGUUUCCUUCUGUUCACUGUCGCGUCAUUGAUGUUGUUACUGCUGGUCCCGUGUGUUCAGUUCUGUUCAGUCACUUCGGUUCAGCCAGCCAUUUCAUUAAAUACCAUUAUCCUGCACCGUGAGUCCAGCGUUUGGGUCCUCUUCUCAUUCACACGCGAAACCCUGACAACAAGUCCAAGGACAUGGGAUCAUCCAACUCUGAGCACGAAAACUUACUGGAGGAAUUUUAAGCCCGACAAGAUAAAUUCACAAACAAUGGUGUGGCAGCCACGAGUGAGCCAGCCCUGCAAACCCUGUGGAUGGAGGAUGCAGUGGACAGUGGGAGGAAGCAUCCUGAAGCUCUCUUUGCAGACCACCCUGUGUGAUUCUCCACUCGCC